AGAGUUUGAUCCUGGCUCAGGAUGAACGCUGGCGGCGUGCCUAAUACAUGCAAGUCGAACGCUUCACUUCGGUGAAGAGUGGCGAACGGGUGAGUAAUACAUAAGUAACCUGGCAUCUACAGGGGGAUAACUGAUGGAAACGUCAGCUAAGACCGCAUAGGUGUAGAGAUCGCAUGAACUCUAUAUGAAAAGUGCUACGGGACUGGUAGAUGAUGGACUUAUGGCGCAUUAGCUGGUUGGUAGGGUAACGGCCUACCAAGGCGACGAUGCGUAGCCGACCUGAGAGGGUGACCGGCCACACUGGGACUGAGACACGGCCCAGACUCCUACGGGAGGCAGCAGUAGGGAAUCUUCGGCAAUGGGGGCAACCCUGACCGAGCAACGCCGCGUGAGUGAAGAAGGUUUUCGGAUCGUAAAGCUCUGUUGUAAGUCAAGAACGAGUGUGAGAGUGGAAAGUUCACACUGUGACGGUAGCUUACCAGAAAGGGACGGCUAACUACGUGCCAGCAGCCGCGGUAAUACGUAGGUCCCGAGCGUUGUCCGGAUUUAUUGGGCGUAAAGCGAGCGCAGGCGGUUUGAUAAGUCUGAAGUUAAAGGCUGUGGCUCAACCAUAGUUCGCUUUGGAAACUGUCAAACUUGAGUGCAGAAGGGGAGAGUGGAAUUCCAUGUGUAGCGGUGAAAUGCGUAGAUAUAUGGAGGAACACCGGUGGCGAAAGCGGCUCUCUGGUCUGUAACUGACGCUGAGGCUCGAAAGCGUGGGGAGCGAACAGGAUUAGAUACCCUGGUAGUCCACGCCGUAAACGGUGGAUGCUGGAUGUGGGGCCCGUUCCACGGGUUCCGUGUCGGAGCUAACGCGUUAAGCAUCCCGCCUGGGGAGUACGGCCGCAAGGCUAAAACUCAAAGAAAUUGACGGGGGCCCGCACAAGCGGCGGAGCAUGCGGAUUAAUUCGAUGCAACGCGAAGAACCUUACCUGGGCUUGACAUGUUCCCGACGGUCGUAGAGAUACGGCUUCCCUUCGGGGCGGGUUCACAGGUGGUGCAUGGUCGUCGUCAGCUCGUGUCGUGAGAUGUUGGGUUAAGUCCCGCAACGAGCGCAACCCUCGCCCUGUGUUGCCAGCACGUCAUGGUGGGAACUCACGGGGGACCGCCGGGGUCAACUCGGAGGAAGGUGGGGAUGACGUCAGAUCAUCAUGCCCCUUACGUCCAGGGCUUCACGCAUGCUACAAUGGCCGGUACAACGGGAUGCGACACGGCGACGUGGAGCGGAUCCCUGAAAACCGGUCUCAGUUCGGAUUGGAGUCUGCAACCCGACUCCAUGAAGGCGGAGUCGCUAGUAAUCGCGGAUCAGCAACGCCGCGGUGAAUGCGUUCCCGGGCCUUGUACACACCGCCCGUCAAGUCAUGAAAGUGGGUAGCACCCGAAGCCGGUGGCCUAACCCUUUGUGGAUGGAGCCGUCUAAGGUGAGACUCGUGAUUGGGACUAAGUCGUAACAAGGUAGCCGUACCGGAAGGUGCGGCUG
rnacentral:rRNA from 1 species